rnacentral:rRNA from 1 species
UACGUAGGGCGCAAGCGUUGUCCGGAAUUAUUGGGCGUAAAGAGCUCGUAGGCGGCUUGUCACGUCGGGUGUGAAAGCCCGGGGCUUAACCCCGGGUCUGCAUUCGAUACGGGCUAGCUAGAGUGUGGUAGGGGAGAUCGGAAUUCCUGGUGUAGCGGUGAAAUGCGCAGAUAUCAGGAGGAACACCGGUGGCGAAGGCGGAUCUCUGGGCCUUACCUGACGCUCAGGUGCGAAAGCUAGGGGAGCGAACAGG